rnacentral:misc_RNA from 1 species
GAGACCAGGCCGCCAACGUUGUUAUUCUCGCAGCAGACAGGCUGCUGAGAGCAGGACGAGCCAGCACCGACACCGACGACGGUGAGCGGGCUACACUGGAGACCAACUUGACCAGUGACGCUCUGAGCGUCGAGACCGAGGAGGGUAAGGAGGGUGGAGAUAGCGGUCUCUUUAGAGUCCUGGACGGAGUUGCAGCACUGGAUGUCACCGGUGUUGCAGCUGUCACGACGGAGGACAGUGGGCGUGGCGACCGCAAAGAGGGGGAGGGCGAGGAGGGAGAAGGCAGCAACGCGAGCGAACAUGGUGAAUGAGUGUGGGGUUGGGUAAAGAAUGACGG